ACCUGGAGGCAAUCGUCUGCAGAUGACUGCCCAGAGACCCAGGUGUGUUUUGGAGGCUGCCUUGCCCCAGUUCAUCCUGAGGCGAUGUCUUGGUGCUCAGAGUGCAAAACAACUACCCCAGGUUAAUAAGUCGCAAAGAUAUUAACAUCCAAAAAGGCUCACAAAGAAAAUGAAGGCUAAAGACAACAACCUCUGUCAGCCAGAGCAGGGAAAACUUGCUCAAGAGAGAAGCAGUAAGUGGGAGGUUUCAUUCUAACAACCAUCCCUGAGCCUCUUAGCAGCCCCUCCCCUUGAUGGAAGCAAGAUUUCCAACACCAGCAUUCCAUAUGGUAUGUUAAACAUCUGAUCUAAGCCUGGAGAUUGAAUUGACUGCAUCAAGCCAGGUAACAGACGCUACGGAAGCACAAGUACCAUUGUUGCUGCAUGAGCAUUCAAGUAUCAACAGUACAAAGCUCACUCUAUAUUCAUAUCACAUCCAUUAUCAUAUGCUUGUUAUAUGGUGCCAGGACAAAGAAACACGAACUGAACACCUUCUCAAGGACUGAGCACGAGUAAGAAUGGUUACUAAGCUUUGUUAUUGAAAAAUAAAAUCAGUGAUUAUUUAUCCUUUUAAUAAAGAUUUAAUGACUAUUUAUAAUGGCCAGGGUCUGUGCUAGGGGCUUGGGAGUCUGUUGUAAACAGGACAGAACUAGUUCCUAACUUCAGGGAGUUUACCGUGAAAGACACGAAUAAAGGGAAUGGUUUCCUGUGACUACUAAGUACACCGAUGUGGCUGAUAAAUCAAGUUGCAAUUUUUGUUAUUUCUGUAAUUCAAUUAUGAAAACAAACCAGCUUUAUAAAACUGUUUUUAAAUUUUUUAAAUUUUUAUUUAAAAAAGAAAACUAUUUCUAUUGCUUGUUAAGGAUUUAAUAACAAGGGGAAUAGACGAAGUUCACUUUGACAAGCUGAAUAAUUGAAGACUUCUGGGGUACUACAAAUGGGUCAU